GUAAGCGGAGGUGCUGGCGCCCCCGAGUGGGUGUGGUCACGUUGCCCAGCGGUGGGCGGUGAUUGGCCCGGGGCGGUGCACUCGCAGCUCGUGCGUCACGACGCCGCCAGCUGAUCGGAGACUGGAGCCGGUGUGUGCUGGGCGCUGGGAAGAGACAGAGCGGUCGGCCGUGCGGAGAGGACGCAGUGAUUUUGCUCCCCUGUCCUCAGCAACCCCCACACCCAGCAUCAGGAACCUGUGCCUCCCACACUCACCUGGCUGAGCCGCAGUAGUUCUUCAGUGGCAAGCUUUAUGUCCUGACCAGCUAAAGCUGCCAGUUGAAGAACUGUUGCCCUCUGCCCCUGGCUUCGAGGAGGAAGAGGAGGAGCAGCUUCUUGGCCUAUCAUCUGGAAGGUGACAGAACUGGGGUUGGGAAGGUCUGGACAGCUGGGGUGUUGGCUUUACGGGAGGGAAACCCUGGCUCUCUGGGGAGCCCUUAGCCACAUGGCCCAGCAAAAAUUUAGGUUAAAGGCACCUGACUAAACUGGGGAAUAUAGGUGGCCCGCCUUCCCAAGGGUGGUUGAUCUCUGGCAAUGGGAAGAGAUAGGAGGAAAGUCUGUCUGUCUAUGGAGAUUUUCUUAUAGGCCUGCCUUUCUUAUCUCCUACCCCUCUCACACAUACACUCUUUCUGCAUGACUUCCAAAAGUAAAUGAACUCAAGGGAAAGGUGACACCAAAACUUUUAUGUGAGUCACCUGCGUCUUCACCUGUCUCUGUAUUUAUUUUUAGAUUGGUCCAGGUUUUGGGUUUAGGAGUACUUGGCUCUUUGGGGACCGUACACCUGUCUGUUUCUCCACCUGUGCAAUGGGAAAUCCCGUAGAUGAGUAGGCGGGAGGGUAUGGAAGGUCUGCCCAUGCUGACUCAGCCUGGGCACGUCUCUUCUUGUGGAUGAACUGCUGUCCCUCCUCCAGCCCCUGACUACUCACCCACCUCUUGGGGUUGGGCUGGAAGGAAAGACUAGGGUUAAGACCAAUGCAAGCUAGUGGGAGGCUAGUCCUGUGCUGACUUCUUGCCAUGUAAGGGUGGCCCAAGGCUUUCCCUCCACCCCCAGCAAGACUGCAGGUCCUGGUUGGGUUCUAGCAACUGUUGCCAUUUAUCACCUGCCUUUGCUUUCCAGGAUAGUGAGACUCAGCUCAGUGCUGUGCAGGCAAGAAAUUGCCUCCUCAGGCCAUCAGGGGAGAUGGGUGUAUAAUAUGAGCCCCUUCUGCUGCCUCUAGCUCCUGAUUUAUUUCAUGUUUGGGCUUGGCCUCUGAUUGUGGUUCACCAUUGGCCCAGUCUCACUAACAGAAGAUGGGUUCAGAGCCUACAGGAAGUUGUUCAUUCUGUUUGACAGGAGGAGUUCUAGCUUAUUCUGCAUUUAUGAGAAACUGAAAGUAAUAGGGAAGAAUGGAUCAGACACUCCAGCCCUCCUGCAGCCUCAGAUGAGGGGUAGGAUGUGUGAGGGACUGUAGAGAGGGGAUAGGGAGGCUGCGUCUACUCGUACACUGCAACAAAGGUUGCUUUGUCCCUCGACAUUGCUUUCUUCCCCUCCUCGCUUCACUGGCCACAGUGUGCCCCUCCAGCACUGGGUACAUGGCUCUGCUAUCUUCAUCCAACACGGAGCCUCAGAGGUGAGGAAGGGCAGCCUGGAAACACAGAGAGGCAGGCGGAAGACCGGUGAAGGACCUGGCCUGGAGCCACGGGGGCCUACCCGGACAUGGGUCAAAGGGGCACAUAGAGGCCUGGAGAACACCAGGAAAGAGAACAGCCAGCCUCAGUGAAAGACAAGCUUCCAGCCAUCUUCUCUCCAGACCUUCCUCCCUUGGAGAUGAAGGGCCAUAGUGAAGUAUGGCCCCUUUCUUCUCUACUGUGCAGUUUCUAUAUAAGCAGCCUCAAAGGACCACCUCUGAGGGGAAAUACACAGCAAUUUGGAAGGAACAUUUAAAUGUGUAACUCUGUGGAAACAUCUUUCUGGCUAUGGGUAUCGCUCAGGUGGUGGCAUGCUCGCUCAACAUGCACAGAGCCCACUUCUGUCUUAUGCAUUGUAGAAAAGUGGGUGCAGUGGCACAGGUCUGUAAUGCCAGCACUGUGGGGAGGGGUGGCAAAGGAGCCUCUGCUAUACACAUAUACACACUGAGUUUUGAGCCAGCCUGGACUGCCUAAGACUGUCUCAAAAAAAAAAAAAAAAAAAAGGCAUUCGUUAGUAAUUAAAGAAGGCAGAUAUCGCUGAAAGCAGUUUUCUGUGAUCAUGGUAGGACAAGCAACUGCAAGCUGAAAGAACACUUCUACACUUUGUGUAUGCAGUGUCAAGCAUUGUAAGAGUUGUCUUUUCACCUAGUAAAUUUCUGUUUUAGAAAUGUAUCUUAAAGUAAGGAUUUGGUUAUAAAAUGUUCAUUUCAGGCUUGUAAUAGAGAAAAGUAGAAUGCAUCUGUUUGUUUGAAAAUCCAUUCCUUUUCUGCUGUCAUGAGAAUUUGUAGUAGGGGAUUGCUUAAGUAAACGAUACUGGUCCUGAUGGUGGAGGGCUGCACACCCAUUCAAAGUCAUGUAGAAGACAAAGUGACCGUAAAGAAAAUGUUCUUUACAUAUUAAAAGGAUGAUAAAAAAGUGUAAGUGUGGAUUUGAUUUAGUUAAACAAUUUGUUCUUGAAAUGAGUACAUACCUGUAAUACAUUUUUGGUUUUGUUUUAAAUACUGAAAGUAGACUCAAAAUGUGAAGAGUGGUUGUUCACCCUUGUUUUUUCUGUCAUUCUAAGCUGUCCAUACUAAUUGUAUGUUGUUUUCACAUGUUAAAUAAAAUACAAAAGAUAAAUGUA